UGAUAGACCUAAAUAAGCUCAGGAAAACUACAGGCUUACUAAAACACUGAAAUUUAACAGUCACAAUUUUAAUAUUUUAGGUGUUAUUUGACUAUUUAUAUAUAAGUGGAUUUAGCCAAGAAGAGUUCAAAGUAAUUUCCAGUUGGCCUAGAAGAGAUUUAACAACACUAGGUGUAACUCAAACUAUGAAAGAACUAAAUUUGUAUCCACAAGA